AAUAACGAAAAUAGGUUGAAUAGAAAGAGAGUCAGAUAAGGGGAAGAGAGGACAGAUCAGAGGAAGUGAGAAAGCAAUUGGUUCCUUCCUCCACCAUGUGCAGAGCCGCGGAUUCCUUCUUCCACCGCACACAGAGCCGCGUGAAGAGCCACGCUACCCAAUUCCUCCUUUUUCCACGCGCAGAGCUGUGCAACCAUCUCGAUCUGCCUCACUCCGAUUGCACUGUGUGAUUAUGCUAGCCACAUGUACCCGAGCCGCACCUCCCUUCUCCAUGUCGAUCUGGUCCCGUCAGGGAAAACAAAUCACCACCGUUGCGCACGAGAUCGACUGAGAGGCAUCACACAGAGCUGUUAGCCGCAACUCACCGACCUACUGCAAAUGAGUCAUCUGCCACACACCAAUCUUCCUCUUCCACCACGCGCAGAUUUGUGUGCGGGGAGUUUUUCUAGCCAGUUGCAUUGAGCCGAUCUGAGCCUGUGAGCUGAGCCGAUUUCAGC
rnacentral:lncRNA from 1 species